rnacentral:rRNA from 1 species
GAUGAACGCUAGCGAUAGGCUUAACACAUGCAAGUCGAGGGGCAGCAUGGUCUUAGCUUGCUCAGACUGAUGGCGACCGGCGCACGGGUGCGUAACGCGUAUGCAACUUGCCUCACAGAGGGGGAUAACCCGUCGAAAGACGGACUAAUACCGCGUACACUCUAUUUUGGGCAUCCAAGGUAGAGGAAAUGAAAUUCGCUGUGAGAUAGGCAUGCGUCCCAUUAGCUAGUUGGUGAGGUAACGGCUCACCAAGGCGACGAUGGGUAGGGGAACUGAGAGGUUGAACCCCCACACUGGUACUGAGACACGGACCAGACUCCUACGGGAGGAAGCAGUGAGGAAUAUUGGUCAAUGGGCGAGAGCCUGAACCAGCCAAGUCGCGUGAAGGAUGACUGUCUUAUGGAUUGUAAACUUCUUUUGUAGGGGAAUAAAGAGGGGCACGUGUGCCCCAGUGAAUGUACCCUACGAAUAAGCAUCGGCUAACUCCGUG